GGCCGAGGAUCGGGGUCGCCCGGCGGGUUCCUGGUGGAGAGGGCAGGCGGUGGCAGGGGCCAGGCGUUCCGUAGCGUCAGGGAAGGGACCACCGAAGGCCUUGCCUGCGCGGUAGGGAGUGAAAAGUGGUCCUCCGGUCCCCAGGGGUGCCCCUGGCUGCCUCACAGAGCUCAGCUUCACGCUGUUCGCCGACGCGGCUCUUCUUCCAGAGCUUUAAGCCACUGAUGAGGACGUGAAGAGCAAUGGGUCAUGAAGUGGGUUUGAAACCCUGCGGGAAGCCCAGUCUACAGAGCGAGGCAGGUUUGGUGCGCUCGCACUAGCAGGGCUGACCUGGCACCGUGUGCUGUGCAGUUGGGGUUUCCUGAGUGUUGGCGACAUUGUGUAUGGAUGUGUUGCUCUGCGCAUGUUCCAGACAAGAAACAACAAAAAAGCACAAGUAAGUUUAGAACAUCCUUCUCAAACGCAGAGUAGAGUUUCUCAUGAAAUACGGAUCAGAGAAGAUAGUGGUUACAGAAGCCGUCAUGGCAGAGGUGAUAACUCAAAAGCAUUAGAGAUUGACUUGACCAGCGGUAAUCACUUGUGUCAGACAUUCACUGCGAAUGCUUCAAAGUGCUUUUUUGUCCACUACCAUGGCUUUAACAAAGCUCUCUAGGCCUUGGUUAGAUUGAGUUAGUUGAUCACACUCAAACAUUAGUUAGUUGAUCAUGUUCAAACAUUGGGCCAUCUGGGAAUUGAUGAUACAGCCACAUGAACUAAAGCGGAGAGGAAGCUAAAUGUCAUUUUUAGGCUGGCAGUGCCAGUAUCCACGUUUUCAGAGUAGUUCACCUCGUGGCUCCAUGUGAAUGUGGAAAAAGACUGGGGAGAGAACUGCUGCAUGCGCUUUCCCAUUAUUUUGGCCUUUGGUUAAAGGCCUUCAGAAAGUACUCAGUCCAUUUUAGCAAACUAUCUUUCACCUCUUUCUGAUACGACAGCCAGUACUGUGUUAGCAUUACAAACACUGUGGUACAGGCUCUGAAACAUGGAAAUGCCUUUUUGCCCUCUAUCUGCUGGCAAACAGUGAUCGUUUGUCAGUGCUGCUAAAGUAAUUUUAGUUCACUCUCCUUCCCUGACCUGAAUUUGGAGUCAUGAAUUCAGUUUCAUGGACAGUAAUUUCAGUCAUCUAACUAAUGACAUCUCAGAAUUUAUCCAGUCUUCCAUUAGCAUGUGUUGUUCAGCGAGUGUCAUUCUGUGAAGUGUUUGGGACAUCUUCAGGAAUGUGCCACCUGAGUCCUUAGCAGGAUACAAACCCUUCAAAAACACCUUCUCUGGGGAACACAAAUGUCUGCUCAUAACAAAAUCACCCAAGAGUGCAACAUGCAGGGUGAAUGGUUUCCAUCUCCACAGACUAAUGCACACUGCAAAAUCUUUUUCCUAUCCCCAGAGACCUAGAAAGUAGCUCAUACGGGAAGAUCCAUUCUAAUCCCCAGAUACUGUAAAACAUAGCAGCAAAAUCCCUCUAUCAUCAUACACAAACACACACUGCAAAAUCCCACUUCUGCUGUAGAGAUGUAAAACUCUCAGCAAAUUCCCAUCCCCUAUUUCUACUUCCCUCUAGACAGACAAAAUGUUUUCCAUCCCAGUCUUCUAGUUUGACACUGAAUAUUUGCACAAACACAUUAAGAGAGCUCCCCUGUCUGUGUCGGCCAAUAACAAGCACUUCGUGAAUGCUGCAACAUCUCAGAAACAUUGUAAAGGAUGGCUGAGAGAUUUGAAUUCUGAAUGCCAGAUCCCUUCAUGCUGAACACACGACCACAACACAGAUGACAUUCCUGACGGGAACAGAUACAACUGCAGUGAGAAUGGAGAACUGUUCUCAUGUGACUGCAAGCACGCAAUGCUGAUGGGGAAGUUAAGUGUCCUUAGCCACCCCUUCUCUCCCUGCAGUAAAUUCACUCCAUGUGUGCCGUGCCAGGAGUGCAGAGUGACAAGAUCCCAUGGCACUUUUGCAACAAUAACAGGUAUCCUGGUCCCCUGAAAACUUUUUAAGUAAUGGAAUUACAUUAUGUGCUUUAGUGGUUAGUAUUUUCCUCAUGGUUCCAGCUGAAUAAGUUAUACUUCAUUUUUCUUCCCUUCCAAACAUUCUUCUGUAGUGUUAGUAGCACUGAUUAAAAAGAUAGACCCAUAUCUAAGUGAAAUCCUAUCAUUUUGACUUUUUACCUAUAUCUUUAUAUACAUACAUAUAUAUACACAUUUAUAUAUGUAUUUUGCCUAUAAUAUAUUUAUUGUAGGAUUUCCUGAAAUGUUAUUACUAGUGCUU